rnacentral:rRNA from 1 species
GACGAACGCUGGCGGCGUGCCUAAUACAUGCAAGUAGAACGCACAGUUUAUACCGUAGCUUGCUCCACCAUAGACUGUGAGUUGCGAACGGGUGAGUAACGCGUAGGUAACCUGCCUGGUAGCGGGGGAUAACUAUUGGAAACGAUAGCUAAUACCGCAUAAUAUUAAUUAUUGCAUGAUAAUUAAUUGAAAGGUGCAAUUGCACCACUACCAGAUGGACCUGCGUUGUAUUAGCUAGUAGGUGGGGUAACGGCUCACCUAGGCGACGAUACAUAGCCGACCUGAGAUGGUGAUCGGCCACACUGGGACUGAGACACGGCCCAGACUCCUACGGGAGGCAGCAGUAGGGAAUCUUCGGCAAUGGACGAAAGUCUGACCGAGCAACGCCGCGUGAGUGAAGAAGGUUUUCGGAUCGUAAAGCUCUGUUGUAAGAGAAGAACGGGUGUGAGAGUGGAAAGUUCACACUGUGACGGUAUCUUACCAGAAAGGGACGGCUAACUACGUG